GAAAAGGAGCUGCUUGGAAAUGCACAUGUGACAGCAAGUGAGGAGAGGAAACAUAGCUAAUAUAUUUAAGUGCUAAUUUUAAAAAGAGCUUCUCAUUUGGUCUAAAAACGUGUAGCUUAGGAAAUCUUGACGGUGUGGGCUUUCAUUCAACUGACUGGUUUCCUGUUUCCUUUAACUGGUGAUUUUAGUUUUCCUUAAGGUGAAAUUUAGCGUUUGGGGGUUUUUUGUGUCUUGAACUAUUCGACUGAGAGGCAGAAGAUGUUCCCCUAGAGCAAGCUUUGGAGCCAGAGGAUCCAACCACUACCUCUUAGGACUCUUUCUAUUAGACUCCUUUCUAUAUUUUGAAAAACUUUGUAGCUUAUAUGCAACACCUAGUUUAUAUUAUUACUCUUAGAUUUUUUCCAUUAUUUGAAAGAC